GACGAACGCUGGCGGCGUGCUUAACACAUGCAAGUCGAACGGAAAGGCCCUGCUUUUGUGGGGUGCUCGAGUGGCGAACGGGUGAGUAACACGUGAGUAACCUGCCCUAGACUUUGGGAUAACUUCAGGAAACUGGGGCUAAUACCGGAUAGGAGCUCCUGCUGCAUGGUGGGGGUUGGAAAGUUUCGGCGGGUGGGGAUGGACUCGCGGCUUAUCAGCUUGUUGGUGGGGUAGUGGCUUACCAAGGCUUUGACGGGUAGCCGGCCUGAGAGGGUGACCGGCCACAUUGGGACUGAGAUACGGCCCAGACUGCUACGGGAGGCAGCAGUGGGGAAUAUUGCACAAUGGGCGGAAGCCUGAUGCAGCAACGCCGCGUGCGGGAUGACGGCCUUCGGGUUGUAAACCGCUUUCGCCUGUGACGAAGCGUGAGUGACGGUAAUGGGUAAAGAAGCACCGGCUAACUACGUG
rnacentral:rRNA from 1 species